UACACCCGCGUCUCGGGAUGUCUCGGGAUCGUAUCUCUCGCUCUAGGAACUCAGCUGCAGUGCCACCUCCAACAAAGCGUGGCACGGAGCCUGCGACCAGUGCCGCCGCCACUGUCUGUCCCGGAAUGGGUGGGAAGGCAAGGCUGUUUGUCCUCAGGCCACCGCUGCGGCCGCGGCUGUGCUCCCCUCUUCCAACAGAGUCCUCAAGCCUAACCGGGUGGCUUACGGCACAGAAUCAGACAUGCCAACUAUCCACCACAUCCAAUUUGCCUGCUCCUCCAGAUGAAGGAUGAAGGGAAGUGAAUAAGGGAAGGAAAUCCAAGUUGUCUGUGAAGAGGCUCCGGGCCAGGCUCCUCAGGGCAGCCUCAGACCACCCCGAGGUCUUCAUAGAGCUGUCUCCUUUGGAACUCUGGCUCCUAGCUGCCUGGGAGGCUUGAAGCUGAGCACUUCCUUGUAAGUAACACCUGCCGGAAGUGAGGAGAAGCAGACGCUGCCGUUAGUUUGCUUUCACCUAUGGGGAGAGGCCAGCACCCCGUGGGCGGGCCUUUAAUCUAAUCCUAAAUGGGCCAACCCACUUAAAAACACUGUGUGAAAACUGCUUCAAAGCUAGAUCUCCCCCAGGAAAACAAGUGAUGAAAGCUUGUGCUUAAAAAAAAUAAAAUAAAAUAAAUUUUUGAAAAAA